rnacentral:lncRNA from 1 species
CUUUGCAAUGAAUCUUGCUGCUGCUCCUUACUUGGGCCCACAUCACCUUUAUUAGCUCACCGUGAAGGUCUGCAGCAUCACUCCUGAGGCCAGUGAGAUCAUGAACCCACCACGAGGAAUUAACAACUCCAGACAAGCUGCCUUUAAGAGCUGUAACAGUCUCCGCGAAGGUCUGCAUCUUCACUCCGGAAGUCAGUGAGACCACCAGAAGCAAGAAACUCUGGACACAUCUGAACAUCUGAAGGAACAAACUCUAGACACACCAUCUUUUAGAACGGUAACACUCACCACUAGGGUUGGCAGCUUCAUUCUUGAAGUCAGUGAGACCAACAACCCAUCAAUUCCAGACGCAUUUUGGCAAUCACAAAGGUACUAUCGCCUAUCACCAAGCAGUGAGACUAUCAGCAAGUGGUAAGACCAUCGCCUAUUGGUGAGAUCAUCACCUACUGCCAAGUGCUUACAGAGUGAAAAUUGUCUGGCUUUUAAGGCUGCGAUAACUCAAGGAAUUUCCAGGGUGCUAGCGAUACAAUAUCACCUUCACUGUGCCUGGAGGCCACAAUCCUCAGGGAAGGUCAAGAAGGCAAAUGAAACACUUAAGAGACACUUAAGGAAACUAACACAAGAAACACAUCUCCCAUGGCCUAGCUAUUUUGACCAUUGCCUUGUUGAGAAUCCGAAAUUCUCCUCACAAAAUGGGGCUCAGUCCAUAUGAAAUGCUGUAUGGACGAUCUUUUCUCACAAAAGACCCCCUACUGGAUCAGGAAAUGGCCUACUUGGUCAAAGAUAUAACUUCUUUGUCAAAAUAUCAACAAAACCUUAAAAACCUACCUGAAGGAUGUCACAGAGAAAAGGGAACAGAGUUGUUUCAACUCUUUGUGGGAAGGACCAUACUCGGUAAUCCUCUCUACUCUCACUGCGAUUAAGGUGGCAGGAAUGGAAACUUGGAUUACCACACCUGAGUUAAACUUUGGACGUCCCCUGAGGAACCUGUGGAACCGUCAGCUCAGGAGUCCCAAGAUCAGCCAGACCAGCCUCGAUACACCUGUGAACCAUUGGAGGACUUGCAUCUUCUAUUUCAGAAGGAAACAUCCCACACUAAAAAGGCUCCUACCACUGAUCCUGAGGAAAAACUCCUUCCUGCUUAAAAAAGAUAAGUGAAAACAACACACUAACCAUACUCUUUGUGAUAGGAUUAUAUACUCUAGCUCCUGCCAGUACGAAAAUGCUAAUCACAUCAACCUUCCAUCUUUCUUCUUUUAACAGCAAUUUACUCCUACCUUUAACUCAGACUCGAGAAAAUGAUCUCUUCUUCCAGAGCAUCCUCUUUACCUUCCUAUUUGCUCUUUGCCUAUGCAUCCCUCCUGCUUCCUUGGAUACCUCAUAUAAUCACCCCUCCCCUUCCACUUUUUCCUAAUUUCCUCUACAAGACUCUCAACUUAACCCAGUCUCUGUUAAACCAGUCCAGUCCUUCCCUGGCAAAUGACUGUUGGCUUUGUGUCUCCCUAUCAACCUCUUCUUAUGUUGCCACUCCCAUUCCUGCCAAAAAUUGCAUCUUUACCAACUUAACCUACCACCCUUGUUAUGAAGGAAAAGACCCUUUCUGACUUCUAAAUAUGCAAUCGUUAGCCAACUUCCCCAUCUCUGAUAGGAUCAAGAAUACCCUAACAGGAUGUGCAAUCCAACUUUUACGUUCUUAGAUUUCCAACCACACCUAUUAUGCAAGCAAUGAAAAGCCCAUACAUGGCCCUGUAGCUAUGAAUACUAUCUUAACUUUCCAAGCUCCUUUAUGCAGCCAAUGCAACCUCUUAUGAGCCUGCCCCUGGGGCACCUACUACCCCAUCAGUGUAAUUACACCCUACAACUUCAAGCCCCAACUGAUCAUAGUAACCCAAACAGCUCCAUUCAGACAGCUUGUCUGCUUCUCAGGGCCCCAAAAUCAUCACUGCCUCCCUGCUUAACAAACGGUCCAGGUCUUGUAAUGGCAAACAUACUCCCUGCAUGAUCAUUCACCCCUGGGCCCCCUGCAGCAGUGCCCCCACCACUAGUGAAUGCCUUCUCAUCCCCUCUUUCAAUCACUCUCUCAAAUUGUUCCUAGUGGAUACAAAACGUUUUUUUCUCCAAUGGGAAAAUAGAACACAGGGAGCCAUUCAGUUUUCUCCCAACACCCCUUGCCAGCCAGUCACUGGAGCUACCUUGGCAAGUACUCUAGGAGUAUGGGAAAAAGAAAACAACAAAUUCACACACCUUUUUAACAUACACAACCAGUUCUGUCUACCCAGCCAAGGUAUAUUCUUCUUAUGUGGAACAUCGACCUAUAUCUGCCUCCCCACUAAGUGGACAGACAGCUGCACUUAGUCUUUCUAACUUCCAACAUUAACAUUGCCCCAGGAAAUCAAAACUUAUCAGUACCCCUCAAAGCUCAAGUCCAUCAGCACAGGGCCAUACAACAAAUACCACCUACUUAUAGGGUUAGGAAUGGCUACUGCUACAGGAACCAGAAGAGCCAGUAUAUCUACUUCAUUAUCCUACUACCACAUACUCUCAAAGGAUUUCUCAGGCGGUUUGUAAGAAAUAACGAACCUAUCCUUACUCUGCAAUCCCAAAUAGACUCUUUAGCUGCAGUGACUCUCCAAAACCGCUGAAGCCUAGACCUCCUCACUGCUGAGAAAGGAGGACUCUGCACCUUCUUAGGGGAAGAGUGUUGUUUUUACACUAAGCCAUCAGGGAUAGUACGAGAUGCCACCCAGCAUUUAUAGGAAAUGGUUUCUGAAAUCAGACAAUGCCUUUCAAACUCAUACCAACCUCUCUAGUUGGGCAACAUGGCUUCUCCGCUUUCUAGGUCCUGUGGCAGCCAUCUUGCUUUUACUCGCCUUUGGACCCUGUAUUUUUAACCUGCUUCUCAAAUUUGUUUCCUUGGAAUUGAGGCCAAGAAGCUACAGAUGGUCUUACAAAUGGAAACCCAAAUGAGCUCAACUAACAACUUCUACUGAGGACCCCUGGACCAACACGCUGGCCCUUCCACUGGCCUAAAGCGUUCCCCUCUGGAGGACACUACAACUGAAGGGCCCUUUCUUCACCUCUAUCCAGCAUGUCUGUGCCACUUGUAUGAGCACCACGAAGGUCUGCAGCUUCACUCCUGAGGCCAGUGAGACCAUGAACCCACCAGAAGGAAGAAACUCCAGACACAUCUGAACAUCUGAAGGAAAAAACUCCAGACACACCAUCUUUAAGAACCGUAACACUCAUCGUGAGGGUUCGCGGCUUCAUUCUUGAAGUCAGCAAGACCAAGAACCUACCAAUUCCGGACACAAUGAGACAGAAUUACAGCUCUUGCAGUGUUACAGCUCUGUGACUCGUCUUUCAGAACAGGGUUACACCAUAGCAAGAGAGGAACAGGUCAGGGAUAUUUUGCAGUCAUAUUUAUAUUUGCUUUUAAAUGCAUGGAUUAUUGCAGAAGUGCAGAAAUUUAUAGGGAAGGGGUGGUAAUCAUUGGAUCAUUGCCAUAGAAGGGUGGUACCUCCUGUGUGUUGUAGCGGCAAUGGUAAAAUGACACGGCAGACUGGUGGGCAUGUCUGGUUGAAAACUCCUUCUGCCUAGUCCCUGUUUUAGUUAGUCCUCAAUCUGGAUCCUAUGUGAGCCCUACCCCUGGAGUUGAGUCCCACCUUCAACCUCAUUCUCCACUCAGACAUUAACUACUUUCCCUUAAUCUUAAGGGGGCUGCAGGAGGGAGGAGGUCCAUGCACUGUAACUGCUUCCUGCUGAGUCAUGAGCAUUGGCCUUGCCUAGCACUAGAGAAGUAAAUUUCUCUGGAUGCAUGAGCUAAAGGGGAGAAACAACAUUAUAAUUCUCCAGGUCAGUACAUAAGAUAACUCAAAAGCCUUAAGCCAGCGUUGUUUUCACCUGGAAAUAUAGUAAUCUACAAGAUACAAACCUUACUAUGAGGCUAAACAAACAAGUAAAUAAAUUAGUAACAAUACAGCUGUCAAGGGUCCUAAGAUAGAUUUUAAAAAGGUGGAAAAAGAGAGAAAUACCCUUCUUCACAGAAAAUUGUGAAACUGACAAUGAUACCCUUCCUCUUCUAGAAAAUUCAGGAGCUCAAUUGUGUUUUUCUCAGUCUUCCCUAGUAGGAAGACCCUCUAUUCCCACUGGCAGCAUUAUGUUGCCAAUUCUGGAUGAAUGACUGUUGAUACUUUUAAGUAGGUAGUGGCGAUCUUCCAAAAAUUUAGAUUUAGGUUACAGUGUCCUCCAUUUGUGCCUGCAACUUAUAAGAAACAGGUUUAAUCCUGGACAAUUGUAUCCAACUAGGUAUGCCCUAAAGUUUAAAAGGACUGGGAUAGUCAACAACACCUGAUAGGGGCCCUUCUGUUUUGGUUGUAAUUGAUUCUCAGGGGAUGCUUCUUUCAAAAUGUUUACAAAGUUUCAUGAUUGAAUAGGAGGCCAGUUAAUUGUGUUGUGAGAGGGGACAAUACUUUUUGUCCAUAGGCUUGGAGGAGUUUUCUAACCUGGCUUAAGUUGACAAUAUGUGUCAACUUAUGAGUUAACUAUGUAUCUCUUUAUUAAGCAGGAGACCCCAAGCUAAACAUGGCCUCACAUAACUCGCCUCAAGUGGAUUUUUUGGGAAGUAUUUUAAGGGUCAUUCCUAUGUGUAUAAAGACUAUGGCUAAGAGAGGAACCUGGGUCUCUGAGGUCUCCUGACAUGACUUAGCUAAUGUCUUUUCAAAACAUGAUUAGAUUUUUCUAUUUUACCUGAGGAUUGAGUACUCCAUGGGGAGUGAAGGUGAUAGGUAACGUCUAAAGCUGAAUGCAAUCUAUUGGGUCACUCUAACUGUGAAGGUAGUUCCAUUAUCGCUCUGCAGACUUUCAGGUAAUUGAAACUUUACAGUUGAUCUUAUUAAGUAAAAAUUUGGACACUCAUAAUGCCUUCUCUGUCCUUGUGGGAAAAGCCUCAAUUCACUUGGUGAAGGUGUCUAUAAAAACAGGCAAAUGUUUCCUUCACCUGUAUGGUUGUAUCUGAUAAAACCCUAUUUGCUGACUGGGCUUGGUGGCUCACACCUGUAAUCCCAGCACUUUGAGAGGCCAAGGUGGGUGGAUAACGA